CACUUGAACCCGGGAGACAGAGGUUGCAGUGAGCCAAGAUCACACUGCAGUCCACCCUGUGCCACAGAGGGACAUCCUGUCUCAAAAAAA